GGGGCUGAUUCUGGAUUCGACGGGAUUGGCAAAGCCCAAAGCGCACGUCAAGGUGCGGUAGGCCUUGUAAAUAAACCGCAAAACAAUAGUCGCAAACGACGAACAAUACGCACUAGCAGCUUAAUAACCUGCGUAGAGCCUUAUCGCCUCAGCUUUCGCUCGUAAGACGAGGAUCACGAUAAGUCAUCCAAAACGAGAUCGUGUGGACGCCGCCGUUUGAGGAUCGAAGCAUUAAAUUGAACCAAACUAGCUUAAUUAUCGUGUGUCUUUCCACAGGGUUAAGUGAAAUUAAAGAAAGACUAAACGUGUAGUGCUGAAGGUAGAGUAAUUUCGGACGCGGGUUCAACUCCCGCCAGCUCCACCA
rnacentral:tmRNA from 1 species